AGUGAACGCUGGCGGUAGGCCUAACACAUGCAAGUCGAACGGCAGCACAGUAAGAGCUUGCUCUUACGGGUGGCGAGUGGCGGACGGGUGAGGAAUACAUCGGAAUCUACUUUUUCGUGGGGGAUAACGUAGGGAAACUUACGCUAAUACCGCAUACGACCUACGGGUGAAAGCAGGGGAUCUUCGGACCUUGCGCGAUUGAAUGAGCCGAUGUCGGAUUAGUUGGUUGGCGGGGUAAAGGCCCACCAAGGCGACGAUCCGUAGCUGGUCUGAGAGGAUGAUCAGCCACACUGGAACUGAGACACGGUCCAGACUCCUACGGGAGGCAGCAGUGGGGAAUAUUGGACAAUGGGCGCAAGCCUGAUCCAGCCAUACCGCGUGGGUGAAGAAGGCCUUCGGGUUGUAAAGCCCUUUUGUUGGGAAAGAAAAGCAGCAGGUUAAUACCCCGCUGUUCUGACGGUACCCAAAGAAUAAGCACCGGCUAACUUCGUG
rnacentral:rRNA from 1 species